GUGGAUUCUAGCAUGAUAAAACAGCAAGAGCAAAGGAAGCCUCUCUCACAUGUCUACUAGAGUUAGAAAAUAGAAGAUCAGAUGUCAAGUGUCCUAUUUUUCCAAAUUUCACCUCUCACUUGCAGAAAAGCUCCAGCGAUGACACCACAAGCAUUCAAAUCUUUCUGCUUUGGCAACUGAACUUUGAUUUUUAACACCUCAUAGAUGACAUAGCACAGAAUGAGUGUUUCAAGAUACGUGUUGAUGGAAUGAAUACAGAGAGAGGAUAAAGGGAUAUGUCACCCGGGCAGAAGGCAAAGGCGAAGUGCCUCAGAGAGCAAGAUGUAGGCGAUCAGGCUUGAAUGUGACAACAAAAACAUAUGACGCAUUUGCAAGGUGAAAAAAUCUAUUCUGGAAUGAAGAGAGAAUGAAUGCUCCCUGGAUAUUAAAAAGCUGGGAAAGCAAUGAAAAGCAGUAAAGGCAGCUUUGGGACACUAAGCAACAACUCUCAACCCAGGAUCUCGAGACACUGCCACCUUCCAGACUCUUCUCCAAGAGCCAGAACAUUCAGAGAAAGGACAGAAGAAGGAGCAGGCAGAGAAACCAACACUCAUCACAUGUGACCGACAUGAGGAACUGGUAGAAAAAUUUUCAGACCUUAUUUAUUUUAGUGAAAAAGAUGGUGGAGCUUCCCUUGAUAAUAAAUCUAUAA